rnacentral:rRNA from 1 species
UUCCGGAGCUAACGCGUUAAGUCGACCGCCUGGGGAGUACGGCCGCAAGGUUAAAACUCAAAUGAAUUGACGGGGGCCCGCACAAGCGGUGGAGCAUGUGGUUUAAUUCGAUGCAACGCGAAGAACCUUACCUACUCUUGACAUCCAGAGAACUUAGCAGAGAUGCUUUGGUGCCUUCGGGAACUCUGAGACAGGUGCUGCAUGGCUGUCGUCAGCUCGUGUUGUGAAAUGUUGGGUUAAGUCCCGCAACGAGCGCAACCCUUAUCCUUUGUUGCCAGCGGUNNGGCCGGGAACUCAAAGGAGACUGCCAGUGAUAAACUGGAGGAAGGUGGGGAUGACGUCAAGUCAUCAUGGCCCUUACGAGUAGGGCUACACACGUGCUACAAUGGCGCAUACAAAGAGAAGCGACCUCGCGAGAGCAAGCGGACCUCAUAAAGUGCGUCGUAGUCCGGAUUGGAGUCUGCAACUCGACUCCAUGAAGUCGGAAUCGCUAGUAAUCGUAGAUCAGAAUGCUACGGUGAAUACGUUCCCGGGCCUUGUACACACCGCCCGUCACACCAUGGGAGUGGGUUGCAAAAGAAGUAGGUAGCUUAACCUUCGGGAGGGCGCUUACCACUUUGUGAUUCAUGACUGGGGUGAAGUCGUA